UCUUCCAAAUCCUGAACGUUUCUUUUCUUGAUCAUUUCGACGUCCUCCAUUGAAUUUUUCUGUUGAUUUUUCUUGUGAUCUGAAAUCAUGUGAACCAUAUGGACGGUCAAACCUUCCUGCACGAACUGAUGGAGUGGAUUUGUUGCUAUUGUUGCUUCGAACAGCCAUAGCUGCGCUACCACCAGAAUCUCCUGCAGCGUGUGUCGAACUCAGAAGACGUUGCUUUUCUUCUUGAGAGGCAGAGGAAUAUGCUUGGCGAACUAAAGGAAGGGGUUCAUCAGGAGGAUUUGGCUGCGAACACCACUGUAAGAAUCAUUUAAUCCCAUCAGAAAUUGCAUCAAUUUUUGUUGAUCUUGUUGUGCUCCAUAUACUGCAUCGCUUUAGGAACUUAGUUCAUCCCAUAGGCCCUUUAAUUUUGUAUAAUAAGCAGAGACAAAGAGUUGUUCUUGUCGAAGAUAGGCAAUAUCUUGCUGAAUCUCGAAGAUGCGAGGUACGUUGCUUCGAGAGAAUCGUUCACAAAGAUCUUCCCAAACUUCAUUAGCGGUAGAGUAAUAUAUUACACUGUCUGAAAUUUUCGGACUGAGAGUGUUGACGAUCCAGGAAUGGACCAUAUCAUUACACCGAGACCAAGCUGCAUAAUUUUCAGGAUCUGUCCUUUUUGAAGGUGCAUUGAUUGAUCCAUCGACAAAACCUAGUUUGUUUUUGGAAUUUAGAGCCAAAGUCAUAGCCCUUUUCCAAGUAGAAUAAUUGUCUCCAUUCAAAGGUUUGGAAAUCAAAACCAAACCUGGAUGAUUUGAAUGAUGAGUAAAAUAAGGAUUUGAGAUAUUCGGUCUCGAAGAAUCUGCAUCAGGAUCGACAAUUUCUUUGCCAGGAGCAGAAGGAGUUGGUGGUAAUUCAUCAUUGACCAUGACGGCUGAAAGAGAAAGAUGCUACAAGAGAGAUUUAAAGUGCAGCGACGAAGCAGGAUCUUAGUCCUGCUCUGAUACCAUGAAAAGAUGGAAGAGAUAUUGAAUUUGCUUGAAUAAUAUUAUUGAUACUCUAUCGUGUAUUUAUACAGGAAGAAACAUUGACUACUCUUACAAAUCAGUUAUCAUGAGUUGUCUAGCUAAAAGUUAGGUAAUACAAUAGGAAAGAUAAUAUGCUACAAAUAAGAAAGAUAAUAUAUACAGCUUUAUUUCCUAAUAAGAGAAAAGUACAGAGAAAGCCAAAGACAAGAAAAAGAAAGAUAAUAGUGUCAAAGAGAAGAAGAAGAAUCCUCAAGACAAGAAGUAUUCGGCUAAAUUAAGAGCCAAAUUAGAGAAGACUGAUAGCAAAAUGUAGGCUCUAGUGAUUAAGAAAGAAGAAAUUUUAAAGCAGAUCAAUGAAGCAGAAAUGAAUGUAGCAAAUCUAAGUGGCCCCCGUCCCUCCUUGGGAUACUUCACAUAUCAGUGGCAGAUCUAGGAAUCCAGGUGAGUACAGGCGGCUGGGCAAUAAGAUUUCUGGAGUGAGCCAGCAUGGGGGGCCAUCAGUGGCGAAUCUAGGAUUUUAAGUCAGCACGGGCAAUUGUUGAUUGUUGACCAUCAACCGCAAUAAAGUAUUAAGAGCUCGUUUGAUGUCUUUUUUUUCUUUUUUUUUCUUUUUUUAACAAAAAAUGCAUUUUGAAAUAAUAAUUUCAUUGAGAACGUGAGGUCAAAAAUAAGAAAAAGGUUUUGAAUUUGCGUAUAAUAUUAUUUUAUCGAAAAAUAUAUGGUUAAAAAUAAGAUAGAUAAAAAUGUAUUUUGAAAAAAAAAAUGAAAAUAAAACAAGGCCUAAAAUUUAAAUAUAACAAUUAUUUUGUUUAUAUUGAACAUAUAUAAUUCUAUUAUAAGAAUAAACCGCAUAUUCACCAAAUGACAUUGUUACCCAGUAUCGUAUAAUUUAAAGGAAGAGUAUGAUUUUGAAUCUUAAUAAUUUUAUUAAACCCAAUAAAUGUAAUAUAUAUUAUUUUGUCGAAUUAAGUGCCAAAAGUAAUAGAUGUCAUAGUGGUCAAGCUUUCAAUGAUUAUAAUAAGGGUUCGAGGUUUGAAUCUCAUCCAACUACUUUCUAUUGCAUUAAUUUUGGUAGUUGUUGUAAACUAAAAAAAUUGCACAAUGAAUUGACUGUGAAGAGAAUCGAAACCGGGACUUGUAAAAUGUAAAUAUAAACUCUAACCACUUCAACUAGAAGGAAAUUUUGGAAGAAGAAAGAAUUAUCAGUAAUAUAACCUAAAACCUUAAUCUGUUUUCAGCAAAAAAAAAAUGGCUUUCGGCGGAUCCAGUUAGGGCGGCCACCUAGAUCCGCCACUGGCGGCCAUAGAGGCUCACCAGGUGCUGGCUGGUCCCCUGCUAAUAUGUUGACAUUACUUUAACAAAAAAGGUGGGAGUGAUACCACAGAAUGGCUUUAGUUAGUGUUGUUGGGUGUAGGCUAUGAAAAUGCACCAAUGUAACUAAUUAUCAAUGGUUCAAAUAGAAGGAAAUAUGUAAUCAGAAUUCAGAUAGGGAUCAGACACUGAAAAUAAUGCACAAGUUAUUCCAACUUGUUUUCUUGAUGGUAAAAUUAAGAAGAAAUAAAAAUGAACAUCUUUAUUCAAUGGUAAAUUGCUUGUAAAAUGAGAAUAAUCGUAGAAUUUGCAUCAUGAAGACAACAUAACAGUCAAUAUCUCAAGUUUCCAUUCUUUAAUUUGAUAGAUUUCUAAGCAAUCUUUAGCCAAUGUUGAAGGACUAUUGAGUGAGCAAUUGAACAGGCUGCUAUCAUUCAUUAACAUAGCUUUCUGUACGGUAAGAAAUGAACAACCAUAAUCACAACUAAUUCAAGAAUGAGGUUCAACUAUAUAAUUCCAUUAAAUUGAUUCGAUUUUUUAAUACUUAAUUGAACCAGCUUUCUUUUUAAUUAAUUAUACUCUUUUUACAAAUAAUUUUAUAUAUUUGAAAAGGCUGAAAACCUCUAUUCCUUGUAUUCAUGGUUAAAAAAAUUACUCCAAUAUGCCAAUACAAGUUUUGUUCCCCUUGAAAUCGUAUGGAAUUGGUUGAUUCAACUUGAAAUCACCUUGUAUUUGUCAUUAAGGGUUUUGGGGUGUAUUGUAGGUAGGCUUGUUUAGACAUAAUAAAUAAAUAAAUAAAUAAAUAAAUAAAUAAAUAAAAUGGAUUGGAUUGAUUUAAAUAAUAAUUCCAACUAAAUUUUAAGUGGAAAUUACAUAAUUCCAGAAAUUUAAAGAUGACAAUUCAAAAUUAAGGGAUGAAGUUUCAUUUAUUCAUAAAUCAGGUAUCAAUGUACACAAACCCUAACCCUAAAUCAUUUUAAUUUUUUCUUCUCCCUCUUCUCUCUACUUCUCUCCUUUCUCUCUCUCAUUUUUUCUCCGGUCUCUAUCUUCUACACCGACAACCUAGUCAAACUUCGGCAACUAGCAACGACGAAGUUGCACCGGCCAACGGCUGCUACGAAGCGUGCGGUGUUUGGAGUCCUUUGGCGCCAACGGCUUGUGGAGAGGGUUUGGGGUUUUUUUCUUUCUCUUUCCAAUUUGAAGAGGUGGCAGCGACAAUUUGGGGAUUGUUGGUAGAUCUCGUAGUUGUGUUCAAAAGAGUGGUGGUGGCUCUAUGCAGCACCACUUUGAUUUUGGAUUGGGUUGUGCAGUGUUUGGUGGUGGCAGUCAUCAUGGUUUCUGGCGGUAGUGGAGGUGUUAGUGUUGACAAGGGUAAUGUGGGUGGUGUUGGUGAGGUUGUGGGUUGGGUAUUGUUGGUGUGUUUGAUGGUGGCAGUUGUGGUGGUUUUUGGCGAUGAGGUGGUUGUUGGCGGCUGUGGUUGUCCUUAUUUUUGUUGGCAUUUGAUUUUAUUUAGUGGUGGUGAUUUUGUUGGUGUUGGUGUUGAUGGUUGACAUGACCUGUCCCAAAUCACCCUAAUGGACCCGAGACGAGAGGUGCGCUGAUGAUAGAUGCUGACUAGAUGUCAAAAUCUAUCACCAAGACUGACUAUGAGUUAAUUAAAAAAAAUGCAACAAAAUCAAAUGCUUAUAUAAAACGUAAUGCGAUGGGCCCAAAAUAUUUACUUCGUGUUUCAUCAAUAUGAGUUAUAUAUUCAACAUGUCAUGUGGCUCUCAUUCCGAAAUCAUUAGGCUUUUCCAACUAAAAGAAUCAAUUGCUACCUGAAGGGAAAAAUUGUGGAAAAAUAUAUGAGUUGAUAGCUCAAUGAGUGGAGAAGUUCGAACAUAAUUAUACUUUUUCAAUUUAAACAUUUUUUUCUUCAUACAUAGACAUCAAGCUCAUAUCGUUUAGUAAUUCACACGUUAGCCUCAUAAAAUUUAUAGUCAGAAAGAGAGACAUUCUCAUAACUCUUAAAUAUCAUCUCAUAUCCACGAUAUAGUCAUCAGCUGAUUUAUAUAACAUCUCAUCACAUCACAUGUGAUAUAUCAAAAAUGUACCCUCUAACUAAAAUCUAUAAUCCGUCCCUUGGGCUAAGAACUUUUACCACGGGUUUUUGGCCUCCUCCGUGAACGAAAGUUGGUCUCAAAGACCUCUCAUAAUCAAUUCUAAAACAAGGUCAAGGCUCCUCUGUGAACUAUAUGUACACGAUCAAGACCAAUGUCAGGUCAAGACCCCUUCGUGUAGGAUGGAACACGGCCAAGGUCACUCUGUGUACUAGAAGAAAGACAUAAUCACAAGUACUUUUCUGGCUAAUCUCAAUAUCACAUAUCUCACAUACCAAACAAUUAUCAAUAUCAUAAAUAAUCCUUAAAAUUUCGUAUGGAUCAUAAUAAAAGAAACUUUCAUUGUAAUCACAUAAUGAAGCAAAUAAUUCACAUAGUUGCAUAUACUUUGAUAAUAUACUUAAUUUAUAAAUACUUUAAAAUAUUUAUAUUUUUUCACUCACAGAACUAUGCUCGCCAAAACCAAUUCGGUUGGUAAGAUGUCUCGAUAUCCGUGUCACUGUCUGAAAUAUUAUAUAAUUUUUAAAUUAAUAAUUAACUAUUUUAAGUAAUCUCAAUAAUUAAAUGGGUGAUAGCCAAACUUAAUCAUUUCACGUUUAAGUGAUUUCUCAAGUCUCUUUAAUCACUAAAAUUAACUUGUCUUUUAUUUUACUCAAUUUCAUAGCCCAUUAUACUUAAUCCCUUCAAUUAAAUUUAAUUUAAUCUAACAAUUUAACAACUAUAAAAUUAAACAUAACUUGACAAUAAGUAACCUUUCAAAAUUGAGAAAUUCAAAUAUAAUAGUAUAGACCCCUUAUUUUCAAACACAUUGGGGAAAUUUUUCUAUUUUUUUCCUUUCUUCUUCCUCUUCUUUUUUUUUCCUUCAUUUUUCUCCCUGCUCUCGUUUUCUCUCAAUGUGUGUUGUGUGUGUGUUUGUGGGACAAAUUGAUAGAUUUUGAACUAGGCCUCCCUCUUUUUUUUUUUUUUUUUCUUCUUUUAAUUAAACUAAUGUAUUAUAAAACUCACCUCCUUAAAAGAAUUUCGUACUUGAAAUUCAAUUAAUUAAAUGUAGAAAAGUCAUGGAUACUGAGAACGCAUUUGCUUUUCACUCUCCCAUGUUGCUUCUUCUACAACAUGAUUUCUCCAACGAAUUUUUAGUCCCAAAAUUUAAUCUUUCGUAUCAUAUUUUAAUAACUUCCUAAGCGAAUAUAUAAUAUUCUCAUUUGUUCUCUCUCUCUCUCUCUCCAAAACCUUAGGAAAACUCAAUUAUUUUUCCAAUUUGAAGUUUAAAAUACUACUUUUCAUGUUCUCCAAAUCUUCACCUUACGUCCUAAUUUAAACAAUUCUCUAAUCACUUUCUUUUUCUAUAACCAUGGUUACAUAUUAAGAUCGAAUAACAUUCUUUCGCCCAUUUCGUUAUACGUCCUUGGAAUAUUUCAAUAUUAUAUAUAACCGCAGUUAUCAUCACUUGUGUCUAGUUUUUAUAUGUCAAUUCCAUGAAAAAUAAAUAAUUAUCCCAAUCUCCUUUACUUAACCAACCAUAAUUUAUAGCAUCUCUUUUAAACUUGUCUUCAUAGUGUCUGAUAUUUUAUCAAAAGAAGAUGCACAAUGUAAUUUAAUUAUAUAACUUCUUACAACUAACCAAAAAUGAAUACUCCAAUUCUGUCAUGUAAUUAACAAUAUUGUCUAAAUAUAAUUUUAUUAGUCUAUCAUUUGAACUGACUAUAUCAUUUAAAAAGAAUCGUGUAACCUUUGUCAAUCUAUCCACAAUGAUUUUAAAUUCUAUUUUGUCUCCAUUCCGUGUAUUUGAAAUCCCUAAACAAAAAUAUUUAAGGGUAACUAUCUCUAUUCUAAAUUGACAAUAUCUCCAACAAUUCAAUUGUUCAUGAUUUUCUAAAAUUCUAGUUAUCCCCAACAAAACAAUUAAGAUAGCUCAAUAUGAUGUUCUUUUCCUUUAAUUCUAUAUCACCCAAUGUUAAUAUGUACAGAAUUUCCAUUUCCACCAUUUCGAAUAAAAUAUACCUUAAAACUCUAAUAAUUGAUAAGUAUUGAUAUUUCUCGCAAUGUAAUGACAUAAUUCCAAUAUAACCAACUCCAAAUCAUGGUUUAAUCAUGCAUCUUCAACAAUCUAUCAUAUAGUUCAUAAUUAAUCAUUUUACUUCAGAACAUGUUCUAAACCUUAACAUAAUCUAUUAUCAUAAAUCAAAUCCCAUCAACUUUUGAUACAAGAGUAAAUGUUUCCUUGGAAUUUAAUGUGACAGCAACACUUUUUACAUCCUUAAAUCCACACAAAUUUGGUGCUCUUACUUUCUAUGAAGAGACAAUUAUAAUAAUUAAUCCAUGAUAAUUCUAUACUCUUAUUUUGUAAAGAGACCAUCAGCCUAUCACCAAUGCAUAAGCUUUUUUGUAUAUCACACAAAGACCUUCAAUUAAGAUUAUAACCUAAAGAUACAGUUCCACAAUUGAAUAAAAUUUACAUGAUGAUCGUCUUAGACUUUAAGCUAUCCAACAUGUCAUCCAUAUGUUCCAUAACAUGCAGAUUUCGAGAAGAAUGGAGUACUUUAUUCAUGAAAUCUACAAAUACAAUCGAAAAUAACUCAAAAUUUACAUACUAAAAUUUCAUUAAAUUCAUCUUAACUUCAAAAUUUGGCUCAAAACUUUCAAAUUCUAUGGAAUAUAAUACAAUACUCCAACAAAUGGCCUUUAAAAAAUUAAUUAACUUAACAACCCCAAAUAUAUCAACACAUUAUCUUGCUAUAGGGCAACCAUAAUAUUCAUUUACCUUUUAUUCACCAUAUCAUGUUAUAAUCAUGUAAUCUUAUCCUUUGUCGUCAUAUCAUAACACCUAAAACAUUUAAUUAUAUAAAUUUCCCUUAAGAUCAUGAAAUAGUAACCCUCAUACUUAUCACGUGAACCUUUUACACAUCAAUAUACCACCUGAGAUUUCAUAUGUUAAUUAUCCAAUCUCAACAAAUUCCAACACUAUCAUUUUGUUUUCCCUUUUUUUUUCUCGACGCACAUAAUUAUAACUGAAUGCACAUAUUUACUUAAUUCUAUUUCUUAAGGAAAAAAAAUACCCUAUAACAAGUAAUCAUUAUGAUGUCUAUCCCGAUUUUCUCACAUCCCUUAUAAUCAACAACUCAUAAAUAAUCGAAAUAAUUAGAAUUAUCAUUUAUUUUCUCGAUGCCUAAAGUACACAAUAACAUAUUGUCAUCUCUCAAUCAACAAAUCAUCAUUUUGUCUUUCACAAUUUCUUAUCAUUUAGCAUAAAUAUAAACCAUCAUAAUUUCUAUUAUCAUCCCAUAAAAGUGGCCACAAAUCACCACAAAACUUGAUAACACUAAUGACCAUUUGGUUUCAAGAAUAAUUAAAAUUCCCCAAUGAUUGUCACCAAUCACAUAUCAUAUCAUUUCCUUGUAUUUAUCGUGCAAGCUAUAGCUAAAAAUUUUCCUAUGUACUCAUAAAAAAAAUCAUGUAGUUCUACAAAUAAAUUGAUAAUUUAGUGCUUGUAACAUCUGUAACUUCGAAUGCCCCGUAAAAUCAUAACAAUCUGUUCAAAUCUUAAUAGGUUACAUAAACAAAUGGCUUUAACCUAACAACUAAUAACAUUUCCAACCAUCAGAUCAAUUCAACUACCAUACUUACAUACUAGUCGUUUCUAAAUCUAUUAAUUUUUUUUUAUCAUUUUUGGUUCCAUACAUUUGAGCUAGAGAGCCUGUGAUUCCGCCACCACGACAUGUGAUCAUACCCACUGAACAUGCAUGAAUCAUAAAAAUUUUCAAAAUCAUGCUCUGAUACCACUUUGACACGACCCGUCCCGAAUCACCCUAGUGGACUCGAGACGAGACGUGCACUGAUGAUAGAUGCUCACUAGAUGUCAAAUCUAUCACCAAGACUGAUUAUGAGUUACUUCAAAAAAAUGUAACAAAAUCAAAUGCUUAUGUAAAACAUAAUGCGAUGAGCCCAAAAUAUUUAUUUCGUACUUCAUCAAUGUGAGUUAUAAUAUUCAACACGUCAUGUGGCUCUCAUUUCGAAAUCAUUAGGCUCUUCUAGCUAAAAGAAUCAAUUACUACCUAUAUAAAAAAAUCGUAGGAAAAUAUAUGAGUUGAUAACUCAAUGAGUAGAGAAGUUCGAAAAUAAUAUACUUUUUCAAUUUAAACAUUUUUUUCAUACAUAGACAUCAAGCUCAUAUCGUUUAGUAAUUAACACGAUAGCCUCAUAAAAUUUAUAGCCAAAAAGUGAGACAUUCUCAUAACUCUUUAAAUAUCUUCUCAUAUCCACGAUAUAGUCAUCAGCUGAUGUCUCUACCAUCAUCUCAUCACAUCACAUGUGAUCUACCAAAAAUGUACCCUUUGAUUAAAAUCUGUAAUCCGCCCUUCGGGUUAAGAACUUUCGCCACGAGCCUUUGGCCCCCUCAGUGAACGAAAGCUGGUCUCAAAGACCUCUCAUAAUCAAUUCUAGAACACGACUACUAGAAGAAAUAUAUAAUCACGGAUACUUUUCUGGCCAAUUUCCAUAUCAAAUAUCUCACAUACCAAACAAUUCUCAAUAUCAUAAAUAAUCCUUGAAAUUUCGCAUAGAUCAUAAUAAAAGAAACUUUCAUUGCAAUCACAUAAUGAAGUAAAUAAUUCACAUAAUUGCAUAUACUUUGAUAAUAUACUUAAUUUAUAAAUACUUUAAAAAUAUUUAUAUUUUUCCACUCACAGAACUAUGUUCGCCAAAACCAACUCGGUUGGUAAGAUGUCUCGAUAUCCAUGUCGCCACCUAAAAUAUGAUAUAAUUUUUAAAUUAACAAUUAACUAUUUUAAGUAAUCUCAAUAAUUAAAUGGGCGAUACCCAAACUUAAUCAUUUCACGUUUAAGCGAUUUCUAAAGUCUCUUUAAUCACUAAAACUAAUUUUUCUUUCAUUUUACUCAAUUUCAUAGCUUAUUAUAUUUAACCCCUUCAAUAAAAUUUAAUUUAAUCUAACAAUCUAACAACUAUAAAAUUAAACAUAAUUUGACAAUAAGUAACUUUUUACUUACUUUUCAAAACUGAUAAAUUCAAGCCUAAUAGUAUAGACCCCUUAUUUUCAAACACAUUGGUGAAAUUUUAUUUUAUUUUUUUUCUUCUUCCUCUUCUUUUUUUUCUUCCUCUUUUCCCUUCAUUUUUCUCCCUGCUCUCGUUUUCUCGCAGUGUGUGUUGUGUGUGUGUGUUUGUGGGACAAAUGGAUAGAUAUUGAACUUGGAUGAAUUGAUAUAAAUCAAUCCACCGCCUCCCUCUUUUUUUUUUAAUAUUUUUUUUAUUAGCUUUUGACUUUUCUUUUGAUUAAACUAAUGUAUUACAAUAGUGGUGGUGGUGGUGGUACUGUUGUGGCGGCAGCACGGUAAUGGUGGUACGUGACCACUAUUUGACAUAUGGGACCAAUCAUUUAGUUAUUUAUGACCAAUAAUUUAAUUGUGAUCUAAGAUUUUUAUAAUUUGUGAUCAAUUAAUUUAAUCUUGAAAUAAUCUGUUCAUAAGUGCGGGUUUUUGCACUUAAUUGGGCCAUUAAACAUAGAUAUUUGUGAGUCUCAUUAGCGAUUUAUAAUUUUUAGUUGUUUUUAUUAUGUAGAUGAAAACCCGACGUUGACUGAUGAUUUGAAGGAAUUUAUGCUAGAAAAGAUGAAAAAGAUAAAGAGAAACGAAGGGGAAUUUUGAAAAGUCAAUUUCUUCUUCUCUUUCUUGUUUCUUUUGCUUUUCUUUUUCCUUCUUCCUUUUACCUACAUUUUCUUGAAUAUUUUGGGAAAGAUUGGAGCAUGUUGUUGGGUAAAUAGCUUGGGGAAGAAGAUCCAUUGAUAUAGAAUAUUUUUCAACAAAUUCUCUCUUUAUCAAUAAGUUUUUCUUUUUCAUAUUUUCCAUCAAUGUUUUGUAAGACUUUAUUAGUUAUUUGUGAAUAGUUCAUGGUUAUCUAAAUAUAUUGGUGAUUGGG
rnacentral:lncRNA from 1 species